ACGACCAUAGACUCUUGACAAUUGGGCAUCCCGUCCGCUCUGCCAUACACAAACAGGAGAUCGGCAGAUCAGUAGUUGGGUGGGUGACCACCAGCGAAUACCUGCUGUUGUAUGUA
rnacentral:rRNA from 1 species